GAGGGUAUAGCUCAGUGGUAGAGCACGUGCUUAGCAUGCAUGAGGUCCUGGGUUCAAUCCCCAGUAACCCCA
rnacentral:tRNA from 1 species